rnacentral:rRNA from 1 species
UGGGGAAUAUUGCACAAUGGGCGCAAGCCUGAUGCAACAACGCCGCGUGAGGGACGACGGCCUUCGGGUUGUAAACCUCUUUUAGUAGGGAAGAAGCGAAAGUGACGGUACCUGCAGAAAAAGCACCGGCUAACUACGUGCCAGCAGCCGCGGUAAUACGUAGGGUGCGAGCGUUGUCCGGAAUUAUUGGGCGUAAAGAGCUCGUAGGCGGUCUGUCGCGUCUGCUGUGAAAACCCGAGGCUCAACCUCGGGCCUGCAGUGGGUACGGGCAGACUAGAGUGCGGUAGGGGAGAAUGGAAUUCCUGGUGUAGCGGUGGAAUGCGCAGAUAUCAGGAGGAACACCGAUGGCGAAGGCAGUUCUCUGGGCCGUAACUGACGCUGAGGAGCGAAAGCGUGGGGAGCGAACAGGAUUAGAUACCCUGGUAGUCCACGCCGUAAACGUUGGGCGCUAGAUGUGGGGACCAUUCCACGGUUUCCGUGUCGCAGCUAACGCAUUAAGCGCCCCGCCUGGGGAGUACGGCCGCAAGGCUAAAACUCAAAUGAAUUGACGGGGUCAUAGCUGUUUCCU